GUUUAUUUUGCCUUCAUGGCUGAAGGAUCUGUUUGUUGGAGCUUUGCUGUAUCAGAUACUCCUUAAAUCUUUUCUUCUUGUCUUCAGGUGGGAGAUGUCUGUCGUUGGUUGGCUUGUAUCCGGGGCUUUCUCCAGCCUUGUAGGAGACACGCGCUGCGCACUUCUUGCUCCCUCUUGUGGCAGAAUUCUUAAGCUUGUAGGUCUCUGGUUCUUACAUCUCACCAGACUGGCUGCUGGAAACUGCUCUAGUCUUUCCCAAGGUGGCACUGCAACUCAAGCAGUGGUUUCUCCCAUGCCCACAGGCCCUGGCCUGAUCUCCAGGGGCCCUUGUUUACCAGAGCUCACGCUCAGUUGCCUUGAGAGUACACACUGGGAGCCAAGCAUGGGGUUCAGGGAGGUGUGGAUGUAGAAUUCAGGGCAUUGGGGUUGUCCGUGGGCCUGGCGGGGGGGGUGUCCUCAGAUGAGGUUCUCCCAGUGGCUAAUGGGCUGGCUUCCUGCUGGAGCCCUGGAAGCAGUCAGCAGGAACUGCAGUCCUCUGAUACCCUGUGAUGUCUUCUGCCGCUUUCCUGACCUCCUCCCGUUCCCCAGGCAUGAAGGUCCUGCCUUAGUACUCCGGUGGGUGUUGUCAGUCUCCAGCUGCACCCCACACAGCUGGGGUGGCCGAGCACUCACUCGCCUUGUCCCCUGCGGGAGAGGUCACCGCCAUCUGGUUCAGCCCAGCACUGGGCUUCCUAGGGGAAGGGGUGGUGCUGGCCAAGUUCCUCUUACCCUCUCCCCUGCUUCCAAACUUGCAUUUCUUUCUCCUACAGGAUGCUGGAAUCGCUCCUUGAGAAGGCUGGACUUUUACAAAGGCUCUGUCAUCCAUGGAUGUCUGCCCAGAUACUUCUUACAGGAUGCUGCUCUUACAAGCAUAAGUGGAUGUCUUUCGCUAUACACACCUCAGGACAUGAAUGGAUCGAUGGACAGAGUUAAAGACAAUGAGCAAACUGGCCAAUCCAUAUCUGAAUGUCAAACUAUCGACGCCAGAGAAAAAUUCAUGGUAGGACAGGUUAAAAAGAAAAAAAAAAACACUGAAAGAAGAAGCAGGUGUCAGACAUCCCUUUUCCCACCCCUGUUUAUGAAAUUAGGAGCUUCAUCAGGAGGAGAAAAGAGAAAUUAAGCCUAAGAAAAUGGGAAGGAGCAGAGGUUUUACACGAUUCAUGAGGUAGUCAUUUUUUCAAAUAGUGGGUUGGAAUCCUGAAAUAUUAUGUGUGGACCUGGAAGAAAAUGGACUUGAGACUUGCCUGGAUAUCUGUUUACCAUGGUUGAGUGGCCUUGCUACAAUGCUUGGUCCUUGAGGUAUAAGUGGAAUACUAGGCAG
rnacentral:lncRNA from 1 species